AUUGAACGCUGGCGGCAGGCCUAACACAUGCAAGUCGAACGGAGUGGCGAACGGGUGAGUAACACGUGGGUGAUCUGCCUUGCACUUCGGGAUAAGCUUGGGAAACUGGGUCUAAUACCGGAUAGUGCAAGAUGAGGUCGCGGCCUAUGAGCUUGUUGGUGGGGUAAUGGCCUACCAAGGCGUCGACGGGUAGCCGGCCUGAGAGGGUGUACGGCCACAGUGGGACUGGGAGACGGCCCAGACGCCGACGGGAGGCAGCAGUGGGGAAUAUUGCACAAUGGGCGGAAGCCUGAUGCAGCGACGCCGAGGGGGGGAGGAAGGUCUUCGGGUUGUAAACUCCUUUCGACAGGGACGCGGUACCUGGAUAAGAAGCACCGGCUAACUACGUGCCAGCAGCCGCGGUAAUUC
rnacentral:rRNA from 1 species